CCUACGGGGGGCAGCAGUGGGGGAUAUUGCACAAUGGAGGAAACUCUGAUGCAGCGACGCCGCGUGAGGGAAGACGGUCUUCGGAUUGUAAACCUCUGUCUUUGGGGAAGAAAAUGACGGUACCCAAAGAGGAAGCACCGGCUAACUACGUGCCAGCAGCCGCGGUAAUACGUAGGGAGCGAGCGUUGUCCGGAAUUACUGGGUGAAAAGGGAGCGUAGGCGGGCGAGCAUGUUGAAGGUUAAAUCUGCUGGCUUAACUGGUAGCUGCGUUCAAAACUUCUUGUCUUGAGGGAAGUAGAGGCUGGCGGAAUUCCCAGUGUAGCGGUGAAAUGCGUAGAUAUUAGGAGGAACACCAGUGGCGAAGGCGGCCUGCUGGGCUUUAACUGACGCUGAGGCUCGAAAGCGUGGGGAGCAAACAGGAUUAGAUACCCGGGUAGUC
rnacentral:rRNA from 1 species